rnacentral:rRNA from 1 species
GACGAACGCUGGCGGCGUGCCUAAUACAUGCAAGUCGAACGGUCUUUUCUAUGGAAGCUUGCUUCCACUGAGAAGAUAGUGGCGAACGGGUGAGUAACACGUGGGUAACCUGCCCAUAAGAGGGGGAUAACAUCCGGAAACGGGUGCUAAUACCGCAUAGUUUUCUUGAUCGCAUGAUCGGGAAAGGAAAGACGGCCUUUGUGCUGUCGCUUAUGGAUGGACCCGCGGCGUAUUAGUUAGUUGGUGAGGUAACGGCUCACCAAGACGAUGAUACGUAGCCGACCUGAGAGGGUGAUCGGCCACAUUGGGACUGAGACACGGCCCAAACUCCUACGGGAGGCAGCAGUAGGGAAUCUUCCGCAAUGGACGAAAGUCUGACGGAGCAACGCCGCGUGAGUGACGAAGGUUUUCGGAUCGUAAAACUCUGUUGUGAGGGAAGAACAAGUACCAACUAACUACUGGUACCUUGACGGUACCUCACCAGAAAGCCACGGCUAACUACGUGCCAGCCGCCGCGGUAA